CGAGAGGGAAAGAACCCAGACUAUCUGCUAAGGCCCCCAAAUGUAUGCUAAGUUGAUCAAACGUGGUGCGGUUGCACAGACAGCUAGGAUGUUGGCUUGGAAGCAGCCAUUCAUUUAAAGAGUGCGUAACAGCUCACUAGUCGAGCGGUCGAGCAUGGAUAAUAAUCGGGCAUAAGCAUAUUACUGAAGCUAUAGAUCUAUUUAUAGAUGGUAGGAGAGCAUUCUAAUUUGCGCUGAAGAUGUGAUGCGAGUCAUGUUGGAGCAAUUAG
rnacentral:rRNA from 1 species